rnacentral:hammerhead_ribozyme from 1 species
ACCUAGCUGACGAAUCCUAAAUAGGACGAAACGCGCGUCCUGGAU